CGUACACUCCUGCGGGAGGCAGCAGUGGGGAAUUUUGGACAAUGGGCGCAAGCCUGAUCCAGCCAUGCCGCGUGCGGGAAGAAGGCCUUCGGGUUGUAAACCGCUUUUGUCAGGGAAGAAAAGGUUCUGGCUAAUACCUGGGACUCAUGACGGUACCUGAAGAAUAAGCACCGGCUAACUACGUGCCAGCAGCCGCGGUAAUACGUAGGGUGCAAGCGUUAAUCGGAAUUACUGGGCGUAAAGCGUGCGCAGGCGGUUAUGCAAGACAGAGGUGAAAUCCCCGGGCUCAACCUGGGAACUGCCUUUGUGACUGCAUGGCUAGAGUACGGUAGAGGGGGAUGGAAUUCCGCGUGUAGCAGUGAAAUGCGUAGAUAUGCGGAGGAACACCGAUGGCGAAGGCAAUCCCCUGGACCUGUACUGACGCUCAUGCACGAAAGCGUGGGGAGCAAACAGGAUUAGAUACCCUAGUAGUCC
rnacentral:rRNA from 1 species